AUGCUAAGUGUGGGGAUGGGUGUUUCCACUUUUUUUUUUCCAAAAAAAACUACUACUUCUACUUUCUACUUUGUUCUUCACUACUUCUACUUCUCCUACUUCCCUACUUCUCCUACUUCCCUACUUCUCCUACUUCAUUACUUCUCCUUCACUACUUUUCUACUUCACUACUUCACCACUUCUUCUACUUCACUACUUCAAUUCUUCUUCUACUUCUUCUACUUCUACUUCACUACUUCAAUUCUUCUACUUCUACUUCACUACUUCUACUCCACUACUUCAAUUCUUCUUCUACUUCUACUUCUUCUACUUCUACUUUACUACUUCUACUUCACUACUUCUUCUACUUCACUACUUCUUCUACUCCACUACUUCAAUUCUUCUUCUACUUCUANAAACAAACUACUACUUCUACUUUGUUCUUCACUACUUCUACUUCUCCUACUUCACUACUUCUCCUUCACUACUUCUCCUACUUCACUACUUCUCCUUCACUACUUUUCUACUUCACUACUUCUCUACUUCUUCUACUUCACUACUUCUACUUUGACUUCACUACUUCUUCUACUUCACUACUUCAAUUCUUCUUCUACUUCUACUUCACUACUUCUUCUACUUCACUACUUCAAUUCUUCUUCUCCUACUUCUACUUCUUCUACUUCACUACUUCAAUUCUUCUUCUACUUCUACUUCACUACUUCUUGUACUUCACUACUUCAAUUCUUCUACUUCUUCUACUUCUACUUCACUACUUCUACUUCACUACUUCUUCUACUCCACUACUUCAAUUCUUCUUCUACUUCUACUUCUUCUACUUCACUACUUCAAUUCUUCUUCUCCUACUUCUACUUCUUCUACUUCACUACUUCAAUUCUUCUUCUACUUCUACUUCACUACUUCUUGUACUUCACUACUUCAAUUCUUCUACUUCUUCUACUUCUACUUCACUACUUCUACUUCACUACUUCUUCUACUCCACUACUUCAAUUCUUCUUCUACUUCUACUUCUUCUACUUCACUACUUCAAUUCUUCUUCUCCUACUUCUACUUCUUCUACUUCACUACUUCAAUUCUUCUUCUACUUCUACUUCACUACUUCUUCUACUCCACUACUUCAAUUCUUCUUCUACUUCACUACUUCCACUUUGUUCUAAGCUCACUAGAAACUUAGAGGGGGGAAGGGAAACGCUUGACUCUAUCAACGAAGCAUCCUACCGUGUCACAAGAGGGGGGGGUGCUCGGUGGUUCCCGCCUCUUCACAAGCUCGUGUCUCCAUUCUGCUUGAACUCGGAUAAAAUGUUGAGGGUCAUGUCCUCGCUCUUGGACUGCAAGUUUGCCUCACUCCUCCGGGAGGCCUUCCGGGUGGCUCUGGAGAGCCUCCUCCUGAAAGUGUCUCCCGCCAGGAAGUAG
rnacentral:lncRNA from 1 species